UGCUCCAUAAGGCUGUUGUUGAAAGAUUUUAUGUUUUAUGUGUUUUUAUUCGUUGUUUUAUUAUCUUUCAUUAAGAAGCAUAUCAUGAAGUGUUCAUAUAUUUCACAAGGUUUCUGUUGUGCAAGCUGACAUUUAACUCUACAACACAAAUAAGUUAGACAGGAAACAGAUGCAGCACCCAAACCACAAGAGUUGAAAAGUGCACCACGUUUCCUAGAGGAAGCAGCCAGACACACAUGUGACACACACACACCCACACACACAACCAUUGGUUUAGAGGAACUUGUAAAAGAGGAAAUGUGAUGUGCUUGCAUACGUGAUGUAACCUAUAAAAAGAACUGUUGCCUGCACUCAGGGUGUGGGUCUCACCAGAGGCCUCACCCGUGCGCGGGGUCUCGCCAGAGGCCUCACCCAUGCACGCCGCUGUUAUUAUAUUCUAACUGUCUGAGUGUCUUUAUUCAACCUGAAGAAUGUCUUAUUAAAAAUAAACUCUUGACAUUUAAUUGGUCCUUCGAGCCGGAUGUAGGACAUCGAAUUAUAACUAAUUUUAUGCUCCAACGGAGUGACCUCGUCGUUUCCUGACAUCGUGGAGAGCCCGCGCUGAAGUCUGUCGACAGCCUCUUUCCUAUGAAGGAGAAAAAGACCAACUACGUGAAUUCGGGGUUGGCCAGCGUUCUUAGUAAGAGGUCCACGAUCCUGGGGAACGAGGAGGAAUCUCUGACCGGCACUUAUAUCAUCAUAACCAGUCUCUUCCAGGUUGAAACCAGGCGACUGGAUCCUGAUCAAGGUACUCCAGAGGAAAAACUGGAGCUCUCCGAGGUGGGAGGGCCCUUAUCAGGUUCUGCUCACAACACCGACAGCGUGCAAAAUCGCUGAAAGACCUUCGUGGAUCCACCAGAGCCACGCCAAAAAAGUACAAGGGGACACAAGCCCAGACGCCAGUCCACCUAUCAUCUAGUGAUCUGUAAGUGGAGGAGAGGGCAGACUGGGUACAUCCCGCCCUCUUGACUUCUCGCUUUCAGUCGACACACUAGGUGAUCUGGUGAACUUGGUCGACCUGAAGAAACCCCAUUGUAGCCCGAGCACUGACCUAGCCCCACCUGCCCGGUAGAGUAAAGGAAGAUCAGUCCAACCUGCAAAACCAGAAGAGCAACCCAUCACUCAAGAUGUGUCCUCAUCCUGUGGAAUCAGAUCCAUGACCAUGGUCUGCCUAUGGAGACUUAGAGUCCCAGAAAAGCAGGGUGUAUCUUUUGUUUAUCCAAAUAAGACACUGCAACCGGAAUCUUCCUGGCACAAGCUUAUAGCCCGAUAGCAACUGAGGAAGAAGAAGACUGUGUUUAAAAAUUUCAGACACUUCACAUGAUGUAGCAAUUGAAAAUGCGCGAGCAAGUGAAUGUCUACUGAAGUCUAUAGAGUAUGGGUGAAAUAUAUUAACAACAGGAGGGAAUGUUGAAAGAUUUUAUGUUUUAUGUGUUUUUAUUCGUUGUUUUAUUAUCUUUCAUUAAGAAGCAUAUCAUGAAGUGUUCAUAUAUUUCACAAGGUUUCUGUUGUGCAAGCUGACAUUUAACUCUACAACACAAAUAAGUUAGACAGGAAACAGAUGCAGCACCCAAACCACAAGAGUUGAAAAGUGCACCACGUUUCCUAGAGGAAGCAGCCAGACACACAUGUGACACACACACACCCACACACACAACCAUUGGUUUAGAGGAACUUGUAAAAGAGGAAAUGUGAUGUGCUUGCAUACGUGAUGUAACCUAUAAAAAGAACUGUUGCCUGCACUCAGGGUGUGGGUCUCACCAGAGGCCUCACCCGUGCGCGGGGUCUCGCCAGAGGCCUCACCCAUGCACGCCGCUGUUAUUAUAUUCUAACUGUCUGAGUGUCUUUAUUCAACCUGAAGAAUGUCUUAUUAAAAAUAAACUCUUGACAGCUGUG